AACGCACGAGACCUGCGGACCUGCGGAAGGAUCAUUAGUGAGAAACUGCCCCUCGCGGGUAGAUCUCCCACCCUUUGUAAACUUACCUUUGUUGCUUUGGCAGGCCCGUCUCCGGACCGCCGGCUUCGGCUGGCCAGUGCCUGCCAGAGGAUUCUAAAACUCUGUCUGUCAGUGUUGUCUGAGUCUAUAUACAAUCGUUAAAACUUUCAACAAUGGAUCUCUAGAUCGGAAGAGCACACG
rnacentral:misc_RNA from 1 species